rnacentral:rRNA from 1 species
GACGAACGCUGGCGGCGUGCUUAACACAUGCAAGUCGAACGGAAAGGCCCUGCUUUUGUGGGGUGCUCGAGUGGCGAACGGGUGAGUAACACGUGAGUAACCUGCCCUUGACUUUGGGAUAACUUCAGGAAACUGGGGCGAAUACCGGAUAGGAGCUCCUGCUGCAUGGUGGGGGUUGGAAAGUUUCGGCGGUUGGGGAUGGACUCGCGGCUUAUCAGCUUGUUGGUGGGGUAGUGGCUUACCAAGGCAUUGACGGGUAGCCGGCCUGAGAGGGUGACCGGCCACAUUGGGACUGAGAUACGGCCCAGACUCCUACGGGAGGCAGCAGUGGGGAAUAUUGCACAAUGGGCGGAAGCCUGAUGCAGCAACGCCGCGUGCGGGAUGACGGCCUUCGGGUUGUAAACCGCUUUCGCCUGUGACGAAGCGUGAGUGACGGUAAUGGGUCAAGAAGCAACGGCUAACUACGUG